rnacentral:misc_RNA from 1 species
AAGGGAUUUAAUUUCAGCUCAUAAUAAAUGGAAAUACCAUAACAUCAGCACGAGUAAUAGAUGCCAAACCCUUUGGAUUAAUCAUGUUUAUUAUUAUAAAAAAAAGGCCAGAACAUUUGUGGCUCUCCAAAUUUAUACAUCAGUCAUGCAUAUUUGACGACAAACAACUGGGAAGUGUAGAAGAUCAUUUGAUCUGAACAAAAAGGAACUCAUAUUUCACUCAAGUUUCGCUUCUCUCUUUGGUGGAUCUAUUUGCAAGUAAGUGUACGGCUCAGUCGGUUCCUCCCCAGGAUUGGAGCGCAUGCAUUGCCAGAAGAGCUUAAAUGGUCCUGGAACUGUUUUAAAUGGGUUCCCCUCAAAACAAGCUUGGAUAACAUCCUCAGCUCGAUCAUUACAUCUGUGAGGCUUUGGUUGACGAUGCUCUCCUUCUGGCAUCCCCCAUGGACUCUCUCUCCUCCGCACUGGCCUCGGCUCGCUCAUCCUCUCCCUCUCUGUAAAUGGUUCUGAAAAAUUCGAAAACCUAGCUUUAAAUUUCAAGCGUUUAAUUGAUCUCAAUUUGAUGUGCCG